rnacentral:piRNA from 1 species
GUGUAUAAUGGGGUCCAAAACUAG